rnacentral:rRNA from 1 species
UACGGGAGGGCAGCAGUGGGGAAUAUUGGACAAUGGGCGAAAGCCUGAUCCAGCCAUGCCGCAUGAGUGAAGAAGGCCUUCGGGUUGUAAAGCUCUUUUAGUGAGAAAGAUAAUGACGGUACUCACAGAAGAAGUCCUGGCUAACUCCGUGCCAGCAGCCGCGGUAAUACGGAGAGGGCUAGCGUUAUUCGGAAUUAUUGGGCGUAAAGAGCGCGUAGGCUGAUUAGUAAGUUAAAAGUGAAAUCCCAAAGCUUAACUUUGGAAUUGCUUUUUAAAACUGCUAGUCUAGAGAUUGAAAGAGGAUAGAGGAAUUCCUAGUGUAGAGGUGAAAUUCGUAAAUAUUAGGAGGAACACCAGUGGCGAAGGCGUCUAUCUGGUUCAAAUCUGACGCUGAGGCGCGAAGGGCGUGGGGAGCAAACAGGGAUUAGAUACC